rnacentral:rRNA from 1 species
GAUGAACGCUGGCGGCGUGCCUCAAACAUGCAAGUCGAGCGGGGCUAUGUAAUAUCGCAAGGUAGAACAUAGCCUAGCGGCGAACGGGUGAGUAACACGUGGGUAACCUGCCUGGAAGACAGGGAUAACGAUUCGAAAGGGUCGCUAAUACCUGAUAAUAUCCUUUCAUCGCAUGGUGAUAGGAAGAAAGGGGAAACCCGCUUUCAGAUGGGCCCGCGUCCCAUCAGCUAGUUGGUAAGGUAAAGGCUUACCAAGGCGACGACGGGUAGCCGGUCUGAGAGGAUGUACGGCCACACUGGGACUGAGAUACGGCCCAGACUCCUACGGGAGGCAGCAGUUGGGAAUCUUAGGCAAUGGACGAAAGUCUGACCUAGCGACGCCGCGUGAGGGGAGAAGGCCUUCGGGUUGUAAACCUCUGUCAUGGGGGAAGAAGUAAGUGACGGUACCCCAAGAGGAAGCCCCUGCUAACUACGUG